AUAUCAAUAAGCGGAGGAAAAGAAACCAACAGGGAUUGCCUCAGUAACGGCGAGUGAAGCGGCAACAGCUCAAAUUUGAAAUCUGGCCCUCUCAGGGUCCGAGUUGUAAUUUGUAGAAGAUGCUUCGGGUGUGGCUCCGGUCUAAGUUCCUUGGAACAGGACGUCAUAGAGGGUGAGAAUCCCGUAUGUGACUGGUUGCCUUCGCCCAUGUGAAGCUCUUUCGACGAGUCGAGUUGUUUGGGAAUGCAGCUCAAAAUGGGUGGUAAAUUUCAUCUAAAGCUAAAUAUUGGCCAGAGACCGAUAGCGCACAAGUAGAGUGAUCGAAAGAUGAAAAGCACUUUGGAAAGAGAGUUAAACAGUACGUGAAAUUGUUGAAAGGGAAGCGCUUGCAACCAGACUUGCGCGCUGCUGAUCAUCCGGUGUUCUCACCGGUGCACUCUGCUGCGUUCAGGCCAGCAUCGGUUUCGGUGGUUGGAUAAAGGCCUAGGGAAUGUAGCUUCUUUCGGGGAGUGUUAUAGCCCUAGGUGCAAUGCAGCCUACUGGGACCGAGGACCGCGCUUCGGCUAGGAUGCUGGCGUAAUGGUUGUAAGCGA
rnacentral:rRNA from 1 species